rnacentral:rRNA from 1 species
UUGUAGUCAUGCAUCUUCCGAUCACACUCCAGUACAUGGAAUUAAGGACGGCACGUUGUCCUAGUAAUGGGGAUCCAGCAGGGUGGCCACCCAGUAAUCAGCACAUUAGAAUGUGGCCAAUGUGGCAGUCGUUGCACAGGCACUUUGGUGACUUUAGAUAACCUCGGGCCGAUCGCAUUCGAAUGUCUGCCCUAUCAACUUUCGAUGGUACCCUCUGCGCCUACCAUGGUGGCCAUGGGUAACGGGGAAUCAGGGUUCGAUUCUGGAGAGGGAGCCUGAGAAAUGGCUACCACAUCCAAGGAAGGCAGCAGGAACGUAAAUUACCCACUCCCGACACAGGGAGGUAGUGACGA